rnacentral:rRNA from 1 species
UAUGUGAUCGUCUCUCGCAUAUCAAUAAGCGGAGGAAAAGAAACUAACAAGGAUUCCCCUAGUAACGGCGAGUGAAGCGGGAAGAGCUCAAAUUUGAAAUCUUAAAGGGUUUCCCUUUACGAAUUGUAGUUUAAAGAAGUGUUUUCUGUUGAGGUUUUGGUAAAAGUUCUUUGGAAUAGGACAUCAUAGAGGGUGAGAAUCCCGUAUUUGACCUUUACUUUCAACUUUGUGAUACACUUUCAAAGAGUCGGAUUGUUUGGGAAUGCAGUCCAAAAUGGGUGGUAAAUUUCAUCUAAAGCUAAAUAUUGGCGAGAGACCGAUAGCGAACAAGUACCGUGAGGGAAAGAUGAAAAGAACUUUGAAAAGAGAGUUAAACAGUACGUGAAAUUGUCAAAAGGGAAGCGUUUGACACCAGUGUUGUUUUUCUGAAAAUCAAUUAAAGAACUGUUUAUGCUAAGCUGUUUAGACUUUAUCAGCUAUCUGUUUAGUUUUGAGCUUUUCUUUAAUGCACUUUUCAGUUAACAAGUCAACAUCAAUUUCUUUUGCUGUAAAAAAGCUUGAGGAAGGUGGCUUGAGAUUCGUCUUAAGUGUUUAUAGCCUCUUGCCUAUGCAGUCGGAGAGAUUGAGGUCUGCAGCGUAGAUCCUUCGGGGCUAAAUGCAUUUGUGCUAAGUUAUAGCAUUUUAUAGACAACUUGUUGACUAUGAUUUGUCUUGUAGCUUACUCGCUUAUGUUAUUUUACCUACGCUUAGGAUGUUGAUAUGCAUGACUGAUAU